GACGAACCGUGCAAACGUUGUUCGGAAUCACUGGGCUUAAAGGGCGCGUAGGCGGCCUACUAAGUCGGACGUGAAAUCCCUCGGCUCAACCGAGGAACUGCGUCCGAUACUGGCAGGCUGGAAUCCGGGAGAGGGAUGUGGAAUUCCAGGUGUAGCGGUGAAAUGCGUAGAUAUCUGGAGGAACACCGGUGGCGAAGGCGGCAUCCUGGACCGGUAUUGACGCUGAGGCGCGAAAGCUAGGGGAGCAAACGGG
rnacentral:rRNA from 1 species